CCUGAGUAUAAUGGAGACCUCUAGCCUCUAAUCAUGGGCACUAAAGGGGAUUGCAGACUUGAAGGGAUUGAACCAACUACUGCAAGUCAUGGGCAUUCAAUGUUUUGUAAGAGACAACCAGUCAAUUCAAAGAUGCAGGCAGGCGGAGAAGGAUGGCCAUGUUCGCCAAAGCAUAAUGGAAGAUGUUGAUGAAACCGCACUGUUGAAACAAAUGGAGCGGGAGAAAAUGCCUCCUCCUCCAAAGCCAAAGGAAACGUUUGUGAGUGAAAGGUGUUGCUAUUAAUCCUUACUCAGGAACAACCACCAUAAACCAAGAAUAUCCCAGGCCAACAAGGACAUAGUCGUUGUAUUCAAAGCUGCAAUAAAUAGAGAUUGACUCAU
rnacentral:lncRNA from 1 species